AGAACGAACGCUGGCGGCAGGCCUAACACAUGCAAGUCGAACGCCCGUAGCAAUACGGGAGUGGCAGACGGGUGAGUAACGCGUGGGAACGUACCUUUCGGUUCGGAAUAACCCGGGGAAACUCGGGCUAAUACCGGAUACGUCCGCAAGGAGAAAGAUUUAUCGCCGAAAGAUCGGCCCGCGUCGGAUUAGCUAGUUGGUGAGGUAACGGCCCACCAAGGCGACGAUCCGUAGCUGGUCUGAGAGGAUGAUCAGCCACACUGGGACUGAGACACGGCCCAGACUCCUACGGGAGGCAGCAGUGGGGAAUAUUGGACAAUGGGCGAAAGCCUGAUCCAGCCAUGCCGCGUGAGUGAAGAAGGCCUUAGGGUUGUAAAGCUCUUUACGAGGUACGGGGAAGAGUAAUGGACGGUAACCCCGCGAAGGAAAGAACGUCCCGGACUUAAACGUUCGU
rnacentral:rRNA from 1 species